UACGAAGGGGGCUAGCGUUGCUCGGAAUCACUGGGCGUAAAGGGUGCGUAGGCGGGUCUUUAAGUCAGGGGUGAAAUCCUGGAGCUCAACUCCAGAACUGCCUUUGAUACUGAGGAUCUUGAGUUCGGGAGAGGUGAGUGGAACUGCGAGUGUAGAGGUGAAAUUCGUAGAUAUUCGCAAGAACACCAGUGGCGAAGGCGGCUCACUGGCCCGGUACUGACGCUGAGGUGCGAAGGCGUGGGGAGCGAACGGG
rnacentral:rRNA from 1 species